GGAUCGAGAACACAUCCGGGACUUUUUCGCGUUCUCGGCUUGAUGCGUACUUCGAAUUGGAACAGUACUUGGUCUCCGACUGAUGACGUAUCACGAGUACACGAGAACGCAAGUACGCACAAGUACGCAUAUUGAGAAACGCCCCCCACGUGGUUAAGUUGUGCAGCUGAGUCACGUGACCGCACAGUAACAAAUCACCACAGAGGCAGGAAAAGGGGGCGGACAAAGUGUGUGUGUGUAGGAGAGGAGUCGAGCAGAGAGAGCUGCUUUUUCAUGAAACGGGAGUAAAGUAGUGAACUUACAGGAACAUAUACCACUACCAACGUUUGGAUCGAUAUCUGCAUCGAUCUGCACCCUUGUCUCCUGGAUCGUAGCCGAGAUCAGCGUGAACCACGUGGGUCUCUGCUCCCUGAUCUGUUUCUUAAGACUUCCAGCUUCAUCACGGAGUUUCUCUCGGUUUGUGGGCUCAUCUAAAGGACCUGCCCUUCCUGUCUGAAGCAGAGACCAGUGAGACCUAUUCCAGACUGUUUGAAAGUGUGGUGACUGUGAUAAAGAAAGAAAAAAUCAAGAGAAUAAGGAGACUGACAAACAGGUGGAGGAAGAGAAUGCCACAGAGGAGGCUCAUCACCCACAACACUGUGCUCAAACACAGUGGUGUUUCUGAGUAGCUUUUCUGCUUAGCAAUUUAAUUUAAAUAGAUACAUCCCCUUUUCAUAGUAUAAUCUUAACGUGCUUCAUCUGAAUCACCCUUUCUGUGUGCUCACUACCUAAUUUAUAGCCAAAGUAUUCACUCACUGUCUCUUUACUGUUUCGCUAGCUUAGCUUAGCUCGUAGCCGACUCGUUAGCACCAUGGCUACUUCACCUGUCCCUCCUGCACUUUCCUGCUCAUUGUGUCAGAUGUUUAGUUACUCCUCGGCCUCCUUUAGCAGUAAUGAUACCUGUAACAAAUGUAGCAUAUAUGCAGCUCUGGAGGCCAGGAUUACUGAAUUGGAGACUCGGCUUCGCACCCUUCAUUCACCCGUAGCUAGCCAGGCCCCUGUAGCUGGUGCAGCCGAAGAUAGCGCAGGCCCCGCUAGCUGUUCCCGGCAGACCCCAAGC
ensembl:lncRNA